UUGCUGCUCCUCAGCAGGUCUUAACUUCUGCAGAGAAACACAUGAAACAUGCAGGACUGGGUCACYGGUCGUUUUGGGUUGGUCAGGGUCAGGGAACUGAUAACUGGUCCAGAGGUUUGGAACAUGGACUAGGUCCAGAACCAAGGGCGACUUAGGACGACAACUGGAGAACUCCCAGGAUCCUCCUAAAACCAAGCGGGRUGGCUGGCAGAACCUGCACCUUCAGAAGAGCAGGCAUCAACAUUCAGCUCCGUCKGCGACGUUUCCCCACUUUAAUUGAAAUUUAGAUUGUUGUUGACCCUCCUGGGCCAGGUUUUCUGGACCGAGCCUCAGAUGAAGACUCUAAUGGGGUGGGUUGGCCAGAGAAAGCCAUCUAUCUGUCAUUGUGUGUCUGUGUGUGUGUGUGUGUGUGUUUUCUCUGGCCAUUUAUCUUCCUGCAGCUCUGCAGAUUCCUCUGCACACAGAACACGAGUUGCUCUUUUUCAGCAGCUGUGUUUGGGAGAGGAGGGSUUUGUGUUUUUCUCUCCGUUCCUGAAAACAACCUGAGGGAUGGACCGGUUCCUCUGGCGAUCCUGCCUUUCACUCAGAGGCGCUACAUAUCUACCUCACCAGCUAAUGAGAGCGUCGGGACGCCAGCAGACAGAAAUGUUGUGUAAACAGCUUUAAGAUUUGAAGACUGCAGCAGAAAUAUAAAAUAAAACCGCUAAACAUC